ensembl:snRNA U6 U6 spliceosomal RNA
GUUCUCACUUUGGCAGCACAUAUAUUAAAAUCAAAAUGAUACAGAGAAGAUUAGAAUGGCCUCUCUACAGGGAUGACAUGUGAAUUCCUGAAGCAUGCUAUAUUUUU